rnacentral:tRNA from 1 species
AGAUAUGAAGUAAAAAAUUACAGUUAAUUUCGACCUAACCUAUGGAUUUAAUUUCCCUUAUCUA